rnacentral:misc_RNA from 1 species
GAAAUGCGAUAAGUAAUGUGAAUUGCAGAAUUCAGUGAAUCAUCGAAUCUUUGAACGCACCUUGCGCUCCUUGGUAUUCCUUGGAGCAUGCCUGUUUGAGUAUCAUGAAAUCUUCAAAGUAAAUCUUUUGUUAACUCAAUUGGUUUCUACUUUGGUAUUGGAGGUCUUUGCAGCUUCACAGCUGCUCCUCUUUGUUCAUUAGCUGGAUCUCAGUGUUAUGCUUGGUUCCACUCGGCGUGAUAAGUUAUCUAUCGCUGAGGACACUGUAAAAGGUGGCCAAGGUAAAUGCAGAUGAACCGCUUCUAAUAGUCCAUUGACUUGGACAAUACUUUUAUGAUCUGAUCUCAAAUCAGGUAGGACUACCCGCUGAACUUAAGC